CCUACGGGCGGCAGCAGUGGGGAAUAUUGCACAAUGGGGGAAACCCUGAUGCAGCGACGCCGCGUGAGUGAAGAAGUAUUUCGGUAUGUAAAGCUCUAUCAGCAGGGAAGAAAAUGACGGUACCUGACUAAGAAGCCCCGGCUAACUACGUGCCAGCAGCCGCGGUAAUACGUAGGGGGCAAGCGUUAUCCGGAUUUACUGGGUGUAAGGGGAGCGUAGACGGCCAGACAAGUCAGAAGUGAAAGCCCAGGGCUCAACCCUGGGACUGCUUUUGAAACUGCCGGGCUUGAGUGCAGGAGAGGGAAGCGGAAUUCCUAGUGUAGCGGUGAAAUGCGUAGAUAUUAGGAGGAACACCAGUGGCGAAGGCGGCUUACUGGACUGUAACUGACGUUGAGGCUCGAAAGCGUGGGGAGCAAACAGGAUUAGAUACCCCAGUAGUC
rnacentral:rRNA from 1 species